AGAAAACGUCGGUUUACGAUU
rnacentral:siRNA from 1 species